AUUUAAGUAGUUUAAGUUUAAAAAUUUUGAUUUGUGGUGUCAAAGAUACCUUUAUGGUUUUAAAUA
rnacentral:tRNA from 1 species